GUGCUUGCUUUGGCAGCACAUAUACUAAAAUUGGAACGAUACAGAGAAGGUUAGCAUGGCCCCUGCGCAAGGAUGAUACACAAAUUCGUGAACCAUUCCAUUUUUUU
rnacentral:snRNA from 1 species